rnacentral:lncRNA from 1 species
GUCAACGGCCUUACACUCGGGUACUGGACCGCUGGGCUGAGAUUUAGGACCGGGGGAAGGCCGGGCCCGCGGCGAGGAACGGAGGAAAGGCCUGGUGCGGAUUCCAGAGGUCGUAGAGCUUGAGCACCCCUGCCAAGAAUAGCGUGAGGCACCUGGCGACCGUGGGAGGGGGGCUUCAUUUAAAAAUGAAAGCAGGACUUUCACGUGGUUGAGUUGCACCAGACUGGUUGGGAACUGGCUCCUCCCCCCUCCCACGUUCCCGCUCGCUGAGCCUCCACUUUCGGUCCUUGCGGCCUUUUCUUCCUCUCCGUGCGGCGUGUGCCCCUGUCUGCGUUUUGUCUCCUGCUUUUAGAGGACGCGUUUCCAUUGGUGACAUCUUGGCGGGCCCAUCGGUGGCACUUCCUCCUUUACACCCCGUGACCCACGUCCGGCCCGCCGCCCUCAGUCACGCGGCCUCUGCCUCCGGGACGCAGCCCCGCGCGCCGGCCUUCCGGACUCCGGACCCGUCGUGGUUAAUAACAAAAGGAGACGCACCUGGACUUUCCCCGGAGCCGUCUGCGUUUUUAAGCGUCGGGUGGAAUUAG